UGGUUUUCCCUGCCUCCGCUCGCGGUCCGCUGGCAUUUGCCAGCAACCCGUCAAGCGUCAUAACAUAUACCACUUGCGGUAUAGCAACCAUCAAAGAUCGCAUUUGACAGUUAUGGCAAAAGGACGGCAACGUCAGCGCGUUCCGAGACGCAACGGUCGCCGACGAUAAAAUCGUAUCGAUUGAAAUCAGCGGCUCGGGGCCAUGGGAGGAUACCGGAGAUCGAUAUGACGGCAGCAGUGCCUUGGCGCUUCUGCACGAUUGCGCGGCCCGCGACCCCCGGGGUGCUGCGUCCAUCAACCAGGGAGAGUUAC
rnacentral:ncRNA from 19 species